rnacentral:rRNA from 1 species
AGCUCCAAUAGCGUAUAUUAAAGUUGUUGCAGUUAAAAAGCUCGUAGUUGAACUUCGGCGCGGGUCGAUUGGUCCGUCCUCUGGAUUGUGUACUGAUCGGUCCGUUCUUCUUCGCGAAGGCCGCGCGUGCCCUUAACUGGGUGUACGCGGAAUUCGCGACGUUUACUUUGAAAAAAUUAGAGUGUUCAAAGCAGGCAUCCGCUUGAAUAUCUCAGCAUGGAAUAAUAGAAUAGGACUUUGGUCUUAUUUUGUUGGUUCUCGAGACCAAGGUAAUGAUUAAUAGGGACAGUUGGGGUCAUUCGUAUUUCGUUGUCAGAGGUGAAAUUCUUGGAUUUACGAAAGACGAACUUCUGCGAAAGCAUUUGACAAGGAUGUUUUCA